GAAAUGCGAUAAGUAAUGUGAAUUGCAGAAUUCAGUGAAUCAUCGAAUCUUUGAACGCACAUUGCGCCCGCCAGUAUUCUGGCGGGCAUGCCUGUUCGAGCGUCAUUACAACCCUCAGGCCCCCGGGCCUGGCGUUGGGGAUCGGCGGAAGCCCCCUGCGGGCACAACGCCGUCCCCCAAAUACAGUGGCGGUCUCGCCGCAGCUUCCAUUGCGUAGUAGCUAACACCUCGCAACUGGAGAGCGGCGCGGCCACGCCGUAAAACACCCAACUUCUGAAUGUUGACCUCGAAUCAGGUAGGAAUACCCGCUGAACUUAAGC
rnacentral:misc_RNA from 1 species